rnacentral:rRNA from 1 species
ACGCUCGACACCUACUGGAGGCAGCAGUGAGGAAUAUUGGUCAAUGGGCGCUAGCCUGAACCAGCCAAGUAGCGUGAAGGAUGAAGGCUCUAUGGGUCGUAAACUUCUUUUAUAUAAGAAUAAAGUGCAGUAUGUAUACUGUUUUGUAUGUAUUAUAUGAAUAAGGAUCGGCUAACUCCGUGCCCGCAGCCGCGGUAAUCUGAGCGGGCUGGCAAGGC